rnacentral:rRNA from 1 species
GACGAACGCUGGCGGCGUGCUUAACACAUGCAAGUCGAACGGAAAGGCUCCAGCUUGCUGGAGUACUCGAGUGGCGAACGGGUGAGUAACACGUGGGUAAUCUGCCCUGCACUCUGGGAUAAGCCUGGGAAACUGGGUCUAAUACUGGAUAUGACCUUUCUCCUUAUGGGGUUUGGUGGAAAGUUUUUCGGUGUAGGAUGAGCCCGCGGCCUAUCAGCUUGUUGGUGGGGUGAUGGCCUACCAAGGCGACGACGGGUAGCCGGCCUGAGAGGGUGAUCGGCCAAGUGGGGAAGGAGAUGCCGCCGAGACCCCGAGGGGGGGGAGGGGGGGGAAGUUUUGCAAAAGGGGCGGAGGCCGGAUGCGGCGGCGCGGGGGGGGGGAGGACGGCUUUGGGUUGGAAAACCUUUUCCGGCGGGGAGGAAGGGUAAGGGAGGUACCUGGAAAAAGAAGCCCGGGCAAACUAUGGG